GGGGAAUAUUGCACAAUGGGCGAAAGCCUGAUGCAGCGACGCCGCGUGAGCGAAGAAGUAUUUCGGUAUGUAAAGCUCUAUCAGCAGGGAAGAUAAUGACGGUACCUGACUAAGAAGCACCGGCUAAAUACGUGCCAGCAGCCGCGGUAAAACGUAGGUCACAAGCGUUGUCCGGAAUUACUGGGUGUAAAGGGAGCGCAGGCGGGAGAACAAGUUGGAAGUGAAAUCCAUGGGCUCAACCCAUGAACUGCUUUCAAAACUGUUUUUCUUGAGUAGUGCAGAGGUAGGCGGAAUUCCCGGUGUAGCGGUGGAAUGCGUAGAUAUCGGGAGGAACACCAGUGGCGAAGGCGGCCUACUGGGCACCAACUGACGCUGAGGCUCGAAAGUGUGGGUAGCAAACAGGAUUAGAUACCCUGGUAGUCCACACCGUAAACGAUGAUUACUAGGUGUUGGAGGAUUGACCCCUUCAGUGCCGCAGUUAACACAAUAAGUAAUCCACCUGGGGAGUACGACCGCAAGGUUGAAACUCAAAGGAAUUGACGGGGGCCCGCACAAGCAGUGGAGUAUGUGGUUUAAUUCGACGCAACGCGAAGAACCUUACCAAGUCUUGACAUCCCUUGACGAACAUAGAAAUAUGUUUUCUCUUCGGAGCAAGGAGACAGGUGGUGCAUGGUUGUCGUCAGCUCGUGUCGUGAGAUGUUGGGUUAAGUCCCGCAACGAGCGCAACCCUUAUGGUCAGUUACUACGCAAGAGGACUCUGGCCAGACUGCCGUUGACAAAACGGAGGAAGGUGGGGAUGACGUCAAAUCAUCAUGCCCUUUAUGACUUGGGCUACACACGUACUACAAUGGCGUUAAACAAAGAGAAGCAAGACCGCGAGGUGGAGCAAAACUCAGAAACAACGUCCCAGUUCGGACUGCAGGCUGCAACUCGCCUGCACGAAGUCGGAAUUGCUAGUAAUCGUGGAUCAGCAUGCCACGGUGAAUACGUUCCCG
rnacentral:rRNA from 1 species